rnacentral:rRNA from 1 species
AGCAACUUGGUGGAAUGUAAGUAGUUUUUAUAAACAAAGUGUGAGACUUUCGCAUAAAGUUCUAGAUAAAAUAAUGAUAAUGACAACUUUUUAUCUAUAUGUCUUGACUAAAUCUUGUGCCAGCAGUCGCGGUAAGACAAGGAAGACUAGUGUUAUUCAUCUUCAUUAGGUUUAAAGGGUACCUAGACAGUUUAUAUUGCCUGAUUAAGGGACGUAUAACACUAGAGUAAGAUAUGAGAGGAAGAUGUAAGAAUUGUUGGAGUAAAGAUAAAAUAUUUUGAUAUCAAUAAGACUACCUAUGGCGAAGGCAAGCCUCUAUCUGAUUAACUGACGUUGAGGGACGAAGGCUUGGGUAAUGAACAGGAUUAGAAACCCUAAUAGUCCUUGCAGAAAAUUAUGAGUGUUAUAUAUUAGUAAGGUUGUACCCGAAAAAUAUAAUGUUUAAGGGUAAAUUAUGUAAAAAUUAGUAUAAAAUAUGUAAAAAGUAUUCUAUAUAAGUAUAGUAAUCAUACAGCAACUAUAUAUU